ensembl:snoRNA U8 U8 small nucleolar RNA
UCUUCAGUGAGGUACAUCCUUACCUGUUACUCCCUACCAAGGAGUAUCAGAUGAUGAUGAUGAUGAUGAAUGGGGAAUCAUGAGAUAUGAUUAAUAUCUCCGUCUUUUAGGGAAAGCAACACCCUACUAGAUCCAUUCUGAU